rnacentral:misc_RNA from 1 species
UGUGGGAGAGGGCUUGCCCCCGAUAGCGGUGUGUCAGUUGAUGCAUCUGUAACUGAUCCACUGCCAUCGGGGGCAAGCCCCCUCCCACA